AGAGUUUGAUCCUAGCUCUGAACGAACGCUGGCGGCGUGCCUCAUACAUGCAAGUUGAACGAGAAAGUACCUUCGGGUACAAGUAUAGUAGCAAACGGGUGCGUAACGCGUGAGAAUCUACCCUUUGGUGGGGGAUACCCUGGAGAAAUCCGGGUUAAUCCUGCAUAAGCUCGAAAGAGGAAAGGCGGCCUAAUUGCUGCCGCCGAAGGAUGAGCUCGCGUCCUAUUAGUUUGUUGGUGGGGUAAUAGCCUACCAAGACUGUGAUGGGUACCUGGCCUUAGAGGGUGUACAGGCACACUGGGACUGAGAUACGGCCCAGACUUCUACGGAAGGCAGCAGUAGGGAAUAUUGCGCAAUGGACGAAAGUCUGAUGCAGCGACGCCGCGUGAAGGAUGACGGUCUUCGGAUUGUAAACUUCUGUUGAGGGGGAAAAAAUCCGUGUGAGUAAUAUGCGCACGGGAUGAUUGUACCUCUUUAGAAAGCUCCGGCUAACUUCGUGCCAGCAGCCGCGGUAAUACGAGGGGAGCAAGCGUUGUUCGGAUUUACUGGGCGUAAAGAGUGUGAAGGCGGCGAUUUAAGUCUUGCGUGAAAUGUUAUGGCUCAACCAUAACCUGUCGCAAGAUACUGGAUUGCUUGAGUGUGAGAGAGAGAGGUGGAAUUCUCGGAGUAGCGGUGGAAUGCGUAGAUCUCGAGAGGAACGUCGAUGGCGAAGGCAGCUUCUUGGCUCAUAACUGACGCUCAAACACGAAGGCGUGGGUAGCAAACAGGAUUAGAUACCCUGGUAGUCCACGCAGUAAACGAUGAUCACUAGGUGUGGGGCGGUUAAGCUCCGUGCCGAAGCUAACGCGUUAAGUGAUCCGCCUGAGUAGUACGGUCGCAAGAUUAAAACUCAAAGGAAUUGACGGGGGCCCGCACAAGCGGUGGAACAUGUGGUUUAAUUCGACACUACGCGAGGAACCUUACCUAGGCUUGACAUGUGUUUGCUUGCUCCUGAAAGGGAGUUUUUCCGAGCUUGCUCGGACAAGCACACAGGUGCUGCAUGGCUGUCGUCAGCUCGUGUCGUGAGAUGUUGGGUUAAGUCCUUUAACGAGCGCAACCCCUGCUGUUAGUUGCUUCUCCAUUUGGAGGGGACUCUAACGGGACUGCCUGGGAAACCAGGAUGAAGGUGGGGAUGAUGUCAAGUCCUCAUGGCCCUUAUGCCUAGGGCUACACACGUGUUACAAUGGCCGGUACAACGGGCAGCUAUCCCGCGAGGGUGUGCUAAUCUCUUAAAACCGGUCUCAGUUCGGAUUGGAGUCUGAAAUUCGACUCCAUGAAGUUGAAAUCGCUAGUAAUCGCGUAUCAGAACGAUGCGGUGAAUGCGUUCCCGGGCCUUGUACACACCGCCCGUCAAACCACGGGAGUUGUCUGCGCCCGAAGAUGUUUUCCUUGACUCGUAAGAUAGAGGUACAUUUAAGGCGUGGGUGAUGACUGGGGUUAAGUCGUAACAAGGUA
rnacentral:rRNA from 1 species